UAGAGUUUGAUCCUGGCUCAGGAUGAACGCUAGCGGCAGGCUUAACACAUGCAAGUCGAGGGGCAUCGGGAGGGAAGCUUGCUUUCCUUGCCGGCGACCGGCGCACGGGUGAGUAACACGUAUGCAACCUGCCCUCUUCAGGGGGACAACCUUCCGAAAGGGAGGCUAAUCCCGCGUAUAUCGGUUUCGGGCAUCCGAGAUCGAGGAAAGAUUCAUCGGAAGAGGAUGGGCAUGCGGCGCAUUAGCUAGACGGCGGGGUAACGGCCCACCGUGGCGACGAUGCGUAGGGGUUCUGAGAGGAAGGUCCCCCACACUGGUACUGAGACACGGACCAGACUCCUACGGGAGGCAGCAGUGAGGAAUAUUGGUCAAUGGGAGAGAUCCUGAACCAGCCAAGCCGCGUGAGGGAAGACGGCCCUAUGGGUUGUAAACCUCUUUUGUCGGAGAACAAAACCCGGGACGUGUCCCGGACUGCGUGUAUCCGAAGAAAAAGCAUCGGCUAACUCCGUGCCAGCAGCCGCGGUAAUACGGAGGAUGCGAGCGUUAUCCGGAUUUAUUGGGUUUAAAGGGUGCGUAGGCGGUCCGUUAAGUCAGCGGUAAAAUUGCGGGGCUCAACCCCGUCGAGCCGUUGAAACUGGCAGACUUGAGUUGGCGAGAAGUACGCGGAAUGCGCGGUGUAGCGGUGAAAUGCAUAGAUAUCGCGCAGAACUCCGAUUGCGAAGGCAGCGUACCGGCGCCAGACUGACGCUGAGGCACGAAAGCGUGGGGAUCGAACAGGAUUAGAUACCCUGGUAGUCCACGCAGUAAACGAUGAAUGCUGGUUGUCCGGGUCGAAUGAGAUCUGGCGGGCGAAGCGAAAGCGAUAAGCAUUCCACCUUGGGGAGUACGCCGGCAACGGUGAAACUCAAAGGAAUUGACGGGGGCCCGCACAAGCGGAGGAACAUGUGGUUUAAUUCGAUGAUACGCGAGGAACCUUACCCGGGCUCAAACGGGAGUGGAAUGGACCAGAGACGGUUCAGCCUACGGGCCGCUUCCGAGGUGCUGCAUGGUUGUCGUCAGCUCGUGCCGUGAGGUGUCGGCUUAAGUGCCAUAACGAGCGCAACCCCCGCCGGCAGUUGCUAACGGGCAAAGCUGGGGACUCUGGCGGGACUGCCGGCGCAAGCUGCGAGGAAGGCGGGGAUGACGUCAAAUCAGCACGGCCCUUACGUCCGGGGCGACACACGUGUUACAAUGGCAGGUACAGCGGGAAGCCACCUGGCGACAGGGAGCGGAACCCGAAAGCCUGUCUCAGUUCGGAUUGGAGUCUGCAACCCGACUCCAUGAAGCUGGAUUCGCUAGUAAUCGCGCAUCAGCCACGGCGCGGUGAAUACGUUCCCGGGCCUUGUACACACCGCCCGUCA
rnacentral:rRNA from 1 species